rnacentral:rRNA from 1 species
AUGAUCCCACGAGAGAUUGGUCAGCUGAAAGCACUCCUUUACCUGAACUUGAGUUCCAAUAAAUUUUAUGGAGACAUCCCACAAUCGAUCUGCAGCCUCACAAACCUGCAGGGGCUAGAUCUGUCUAAUAAUCAUCUGACAGGUGCAAUCCCUGCGGCAUUGGAGAACCUUCACUUCCUUUCCGAGUUCAACAUAUCAAACAACAAUCUAGAAGAACCUAUUCCAACAAAAGGCCAGCUGAGCACAUUUCAAGCUUCUAGUUUUAAUGGGAACCCAAAGCUGUGCGGCUCUGUGCUUAUAAACCAUUGCGGUUCGGUUGAAGCAGGCCCCGUCUACAUUACAUCUGCAAAAAAAUGCAUCGAUAAGGUCAUCUUUGUGAUUGCAUUUUGUGUGUUCUUUUGGGUAGCAGUGCUAUAUGGCCAUAUGUACCUGGACAUAUCAUGGGGCUGUUUGGAUUGCGCCCCCGUCAGCCCCGCCAAAAUCGGCCACGCCAAAAAGUCGGCGAGCAAUUUCACCGCCAAGAUCUCGCCAACGCAUGGGCGUAGGAACAGAACAGAACUACCAAAACUUUGGCAUGGCUACGACAUAUGGGCGUCAAUCCAAACAAGCGCCCCUGGUAGCGGUCAACGCCAAAAAAUUGGCAGGGCGUCCCACGGCUGCGAUCCAAACAGGCCCCAUAAUGAAAUAGCCAUAGAGUUUGGAAGAUUCAAUGGAUGCAAGAUUCCCAGAAGACGCCAUUGUCUUCACAUCGACUAG